GAAUUUCCAAAAGGUCCUCCCAAUUACCUGGUCAUCUAAGAUGUUUUCUCUUUAAAGUCCCUCAUUCCCCAUCAGAUGCAAUGACAUUUCCAUGCAAAGGCACAACCAGGGAGAUCCUAGAGUUUCCCAGCACCCACUCCAGAUAGGCCAGCCCCAUCUCAGCCACCCUGAUAAGGGGAAGACAGCAGCACCCCCUAACCCCCUGCCCAAAGCAUUAUAAGCAGAAAUCAGCAAGGGCUCGCUCCUGGAGACGCAGCACACAGGGGCUGGUUGAUGCUCAUCCUUCCAAACUGGGGAGACUCUAGUCUUGAACAUCUGCCAGAGGAGCUACUUCAGACCUGCUCCAGCUCCAGCAGCCUGUGCUGAAGCUAAAGAAAACUCACUAGCAGAAGCUCUUGCUUUCAGUGAAACCUCAGUCUCAAGCCAGUCCCCCCUGGUUUAGUCCUCCGUGGAGACGCUAUUCAAUGCCAGGUAUAGCAGCAGAACCCAGAAAGUCCAUCUGCUUGUGUCUGUCAGCACCCUACUCCUAGCCAAACUUUCCUAGGAAAACUAACCCAGUCAAGAAGCCCCUCCUAGUGAUGCAAAAUGACACUGGGACAGAUUUUUUAAAUGAAAAAAGUGAGAAUGGCUGGGCACGGUGGCUCACACCUAUAAUCCCAGCACUUUGGGAGGCCAAGGCAGGAAGAUCACUUGAGACCAGGAGUUUAAGACCAACCUGGGCAACAUAGCAAAACCCUGUGUCUACAAAUAUAUACAUAUAUAUUUAAUUAGCCAGGCAUAGUGGCACAUGCCUGUAGUCCCAGCUACUUGGGAGGCUGAGAUGAGAGGAUCUUUGAGCCUACGAGUUCAAGGCUACAGUGAGUCAUGAUCACACCACUGCACUCCAGCCUGGGCAACAGAGUGAGACCCUGUCUCUCUCUCAAAAAAAAAAAAAAAAAGGAAAUAAAAAAGUGAGAGUGAAUGAGAGUUGGGGUUUAACAGGAUCUGCCAUCUGAGAAGCUCUGGGCUCUUUUUCCAUAUGAUUCAGCCCUCACUUUAGUAGUCAAUGGGAAGAGAGGCACAAAGAGGGCAUUUGGCUUGUGCCAUCACCCACGGAAAGGUAUUUCAAUGUUCAACUACCUCACUGUGAGAAAAUGCUUUCCUCUGUCUAAUCCACAUCCUCUCUGCUACAAAGCAAGCCCUUGGUCUUGGAUCUGGCUUCUGGACAAGGCUCAUGGCAGCCUGUGUGUCCCAAGAAUCCUAGAGUAUAUCUGAAUUUUGGUGUAUGAGGGAUGCAGAAGUCAGGGGCCUGCGAAGGGGUACUCUGAGGGCUUUGUGUUUCUGUGGAAGAAGCAGAGCAGGGGACGUGGAAGGCAACUGUGCUUUUAAGUGUGAGUGGCCAGAUGUCCCAGCCCCAUCGCCAGUGGCCACUAUUGAGGCCUCUGCCACAAUGCCUACAUUGCUGUGGCUCUAGGCCCCACCCAGGCAGAGCCUCUGGUGACUCAAGAACAUGACCCCUCAUGCUCUCCUGCUCAACCUCCUUGUCCAGACCCCUGAUGACUGUCAUUUUUACCUAGACCCCCACAAGAGAUAAGCUCUGCUGGGACAGCCACCUUCUGCCAUAAAACUCCUUCCCAACAAACAACCCUCCCAUGCACAUUAAACCAUGUCUCAGAUCCCACUGUCGGAAUGGGAAUCUGGUCAUCUACCUUCAUGUGCUGCCAGACUUCAAAUCCCAUUCCAAUUUGGGACAACUUGUUACAUGCAUUAUAAUAAUGACAACGAUUAUAAGAAACAGCCAGGCACAGUGCUAAACACCUUACCUGGAUAAGUAUAUGUGAUCCUCCUACAGCACCCUGGGGGACAGCAUGUAACAAGUAGCAUUUAGAGGUAAGGAAACUGAAUCUUAGAGAGGUCAAUACAUUGGCUCCAGGUCUGGGUGGCUCCGGAACCUGUGCUUUUACUGAAAUAUCUUCCAGGUCAGCAUUUCCACAAACAAAAUGGCCAGACAGCCUCAAAGGCAUGGGCAGACACCCGUGUCUCAGCAGCAAGUAUUGUGUGGGAGCCAGAGCUUCCCACUUUUCAAAAGAAGGUAAAAUAUCCAUUUUAUGUGAAAUCAGCAACUCAUUCCAUUUUUUUAAAUGUGCAAACCAAACAAUACAUGUCAAAGGGCCAGCUGUAGCCCAAAGGCCCCAGUUUGAGAUAAGCACAAUACUCUACAUCCCAUUUAGAACUGGAAGGAAUUGUAAGACACAGAUCCCAUUUUACACAUGAAGAGGCUGAGGUCAGAGACUUGCCAGAGGUUUCCCAGAGUUUGUGGGAAACUGUGUCUCCCUCCACUCACUCUGCCUCAUAGGUGGAGUCAGUCUGGGGACAGCCUGCCAUCCCAGGAGGCCAGGCCACCAAGCAGACCCCUCAAUGCAGCCAGGGACGGCAGCUCCCUCCUCAAGGAAGGCCACUAGACAAGUUUCAAAAAAUGUAGGUGACAAACAGGCAAGAGAAAACGCCCUCACAGUUGAAGUGAGUAUGGCUUGUCAGGCACAGAGAAGAGAGUGCUAUGCCAGCAGGAACUGGCCUCUUUUGACCAUCCUUGCUGCCCCAAGUUCAUCUGCUCCCCCUGCCACCAUCGGACUCACAGCAGAGCCCAGAGCCAAUGGCCAUGGGGACAAUGGGCUUGGACACAACCCAAGCACUUCCACAGGUCUCCCAGCCAUGAUGUAGGAAGCUCAACCAGGACAAGAUGGAAGCCACUGGGGUCCCAGAAGUUUUCCACUUCAUAGAGACUGUGUUGAGGCCCCUCACAGCUCCCUCAGCUUCUGCCUCCAAUCUGUGCAUUGACGGACACUCGAACGAGUCCCUUAAAUGGGGUACACAGAUGUCCAAAAGCAAGGUCUAUGCUGUGCUCUUGGAACUUAAGCAGGAGGGAAAAAUAAAAAAAACAAAUGUGCCCCUUUCCCCCUGAAAGGCAACCAGGCCUACAAUCUCAGGAAUCUAGAGUCUGAAAAAGUCCUUGCCCGUCCCUGUCCCUUGGGGUAAACCAAGGAUCACAACAGUCACGGAUGCCAGCAGGCUAGGAGAUGGAUGUCCCUGACCUGACCCCAGGACCUGUGCAAGUGGAGGAAGUACCUGGGGAUCAGGGAACAUGGCUCCUGCAUACCCAAGCUGACAAGGCACACCAAGUCCAAACUCCAAAACUCCUGACACACAAGCCAAAGUAAGCAUGAUUCCUCUGCUCUAGGUCACCAGAACAAACACACAAGUUGUGUUUGGCUUUUCCCUAAGAGAAGAUCAACAGUAGCAUUGAAACCCCCUGUAUUCCUAUUCCCAAUCUCAUUACCCUCCACCACUUGCCAAAGGGAGCAUCCCUGGGAAUUUGGUGUUCAGCAUUUCCACCGACCCUUUUCAACUAUUAUAUACGUAUAUAUUCAUAAACAAGAUAGACUGCGGGAUUUACGUCUUUUAAUUUUGUACGAACAGUAUUAUACUGUCCACAUCACCUAACAGCUUGCUUUUUUUUUUUUUUUUUGAGAAAUAGGCAUGUAAAGAAAAUAGCUACCUCAUGUAUCUGAACUGCUGUGCAGUUUGCUUGCAUUUAUCCAUUCUCCUGUUGUCAGAUUCAUGUGGAUUUUACGUCUCGCUUCUGUGAACAGACUUGUGUGUGUCCCUCUGCCCACAUGAGGGCAUAUGCAAUUGAAGCAGGACUGCUGGGUCGUGGGAGUCACACAUCUUUAAGAGGUCUCCAAGGUCAUUGUUCACUUCACACGUUCCCUAGCAGUGUCUGAAGAUCCCUGUUUCUCUGUGCCUUCAUCUAUAUUUGGAAUUGUCAGACUUUUUAAUUUUUUCCAAAUGAAAACAGUGAAGCAGAUCGCAGUAGUUUUAAAUUUGAUUUCAUGGGAGGCCUACCACAUUUCCACGUGUGCGUUGGCCAUUCAUGUGUCCUCUUCUGGAAACAUUGGGUCCUUUGCCUGUUUUUCUAUGGGAUUGUGGUUUGGGUGGGUUUUGAAAAUUAAUUUCUAAAGUUAUUGUUUUAUAUAUGUUGCAACAGUCUAUUCACAGUUUGGAGCUGGUCUUUACACUUUG
rnacentral:lncRNA from 1 species